GACGAACGCUGGCGGCGUGCCUAAUACAUGCAAGUAGAACGCUGAAGAGAGGAGCUUGCUCUUCUUGGAUGAGUUGCGAACGGGUGAGUAACGCGUAGGUAACCUGCCUGGUAGCGGGGGAUAACUAUUGGAAACGAUAGCUAAUACCGCAUAAAAUGGAUUAUCGCAUGAUAAUCCAUUGAAUGGUGCAAAUGCAUCACUACCAGAUGGACCUGCGUUGUAUUAGCUAGUUGGUGGGGUAACGGCUCACCAAGGCGACGAUACAUAGCCGACCUGAGAGGGUGAUCGGCCACACUGGGACUGAGACACGGCCCAGACUCCUACGGGAGGCAGCAGUAGGGAAUCUUCGGCAAUGGACGGAAGUCUGACCGAGCAACGCCGCGUGAGUGAAGAAGGUUUUCGGAUCGUAAAGCUCUGUUGUAAGAGAAGAACGAGUGUGAGAGUGGAAAGUUCACACUGUGACGGUAUCUUACCAGAAAGGGACGGCUAACUACGUG
rnacentral:rRNA from 1 species